UACAGAGGUCCCAAGCGUUGUUCGGAUUUACUGGGCGUAAAGGGUGCGUAGGUGGUCGGGUAAGUCUCAUGUGAAAUCUCCAAGCUUAACUUGGAAAUGGCAUGGGAUACUAUUCGGCUAGAGGAUUGGAGGGGGGACUGGAAUUCCCGGUGUAGCAGUGAAAUGCGUAGAUAUCGGGAGGAACACCAGUGGCGAAGGCGACUACCUGGCCCAUUCUUGACGCUGAGGCGCGAAAGCUAGGGGAGCGAACGGG
rnacentral:rRNA from 1 species